GCUCCCGUGGUGAAACGGAAUGAUCACGCCGGGUUACGACCCCGGAGGUGCAAGUUCGAUUCUUGCCGGGAGUUCCA
rnacentral:tRNA from 1 species